rnacentral:rRNA from 1 species
AACGAACGCUGGCGGCAUGCCUAACACAUGCAAGUCGAACGAGACCUUCGGGUCUAGUGGCGCACGGGUGCGUAACGCGUGGGAACCUGCCCUUAGGUUCGGAAUAACUCCCCGAAAGGGGUGCUAAUACCGGAUAAUGUCUUCGGACCAAAGAUUUAUCGCCUUUGGAUGGGCCCGCGUUAGAUUAGCUAGUUGGUAGGGUAAAAGCCUACCAAGGCGACGAUCCAUAGCUGGUCUGAGAGGAUGAUCAGCCACACUGGGACUGAGACACGGCCCAGACUCCUACGGGAGGCAGCAGUGGGGAAUAUUGGACAAUGGGCGAAAGCCUGAUCCAGCAAUGCCGCGUGAGAGAUGAAGGCCUUAGGGUUGUAAAGCUCUUUUACCCGGGAUGAUAAUGACAGUACCGGGAGAAUAAGCUCCGGCUAACUCCGUG